GCUUGUUUCUGUACGUCUUCCUUGUUCCCCCACUUCCUCUUCCUGGGGAAUCUUCCACUGAACUGUGAACCUACUCUUGCUGCUAGUGUUCUGUGCCUUUGCACACAAACUCUGCUGUUGGCUGAGGUCUCUGUGGAUCUUUGUUCUCAGCUCUUCUCUGACAAGGCUCGCUCUGUGCUACACUGUUCCUUUUCUUUGUUCAGUCUUGCACUUCUGCCACAGAACCACAAAUAUCUCCAGCUGGAAAUCAGACAGGAACAGAAAUGAGGAGCCCAGGAGCCCAAGACAAUGUUUCAGUUUCUCAGGGUAUGCGAGCGAUGUUUUACAUGAUGGAGCCCAGUGAAACUGCCUUCCAAACUGUUGAAGAGGUGCCUGAUUACGUAAAAAAGGCGACUCCAUUUUUUAUCUUCUUGAUUCUGCUUGAACUAGUCAUCAGCUGGAUUCUCAAAGGGAAACCAUCAGGUCGUUUGGAUGAUGCUCUCACAUCUAUAUCAGCUGGUGUUGUGUCUCGGCUUCCAAGUCUGUUCUUCAGGAGCCUUGAAGUGACCAGUUAUAUUUAUAUCUGGGAAAACUACAGACUUUUGGAAUUGCCUUGGGAUUCUACCUGGACGUGGUAUUUCACUUUCUUAGGAGUUGACUUUGGCUACUACUGGUUCCACCGCAUGGCUCAUGAGAUUAAUAUUUUCUGGGCAGCACACCAAGCACACCACAGUUCUGAAGACUAUAACUUAUCCACAGCACUGAGACAGUCUGUCUUGCAGCAGUAUAGUUCCUGGGUUUUCUACUGUCCACUGGCCCUUUUCAUACCACCUUCAGUGUUUGCUGUUCAUAUUCAAUUCAAUCUCCUCUACCAAUUUUGGAUCCACACAGAGAUCAUCAGAACCCUUGGCCCUUUGGAAGUGAUCCUUAAUACUCCUAGCCAUCACAGAGUUCAUCAUGGUAGAAAUCGUUACUGCAUUGAUAAAAACUAUGCUGGCACUCUUAUUAUUUGGGAUAGAAUUUUUGGGACAUUUGAAGCAGAGAAUGAGCAGGUCAUAUAUGGUCUAACCCAUCCCAUUGGUACAUUUGAGCCAUUCAACGUGCAGUUUCACCAUUUACUUUAUAUAUGGACUACAUUCUGGACCACACCUGGAUUCUGCCAUAAGUUUUCUGUCCUAUUUAAAGGACCAGGAUGGGGUCCAGGUAAACCAAGACUUGGCCUGAGUGAAGAAAUUCCAGAGGUUACAGGACAGGAAGUCCCCUUCUCAUCCUCAGCAUCCCAGCUUUUAAAGAUCUACACUGUCCUCCAGUUUGCAGUAAUGCUGGCAUUUUAUGAAGAGACCUUUGCAAACACAGCGGUACUGUCCCAGGUCACUCUUCUUCUGAGAAUCUUCUUCUUUAUCCUGACCUUGACGUCCAUUGGUUUUCUUCUGGACCAAAGAUCCAAGGCAGCUACUAUGGAAACUUUCCGGUGCCUGUUGUUCCUAACCCUGCACAGAUUUGGUCACUUAAAGCCUCUUAUUCCAUCUUUAUCUUUUGCAUUUGAGUCAUUUCAGGGAAUUAAUUUUAGCCCAGUACCUGAAUACCUGGACAAGGAGAUGAACUGCAAAGUUGCUUCAUAUUAAGAAGUAAUGAGCUUUUAGGUUGUGAGUGGAAGGAGACCUCUAUUUGUCUUGACACAAAUCAGCAACACUUUUAAAAGUCAAACUUCCUUCAGAUUUUCUUUUCGGUUUGCAUUGCUUUCUGGGGCGUAAGAAGCAUAACACAACUCACCUCUGGCUCUUGGAAAAAGCCUUAAUGCAUACAGAUCCACCGGUCCUGUCAGUUCUCCGUCCUGCAUCACCAUAGUACAUCAUCACAGAGAAAGAGUGGUAUCUUACAUGGUACCUACAAGAGCAACUUAGUUAAUGAAAAAUGAAAACAUUUCUUUACCUAUGCUGUUCACAUUUGUUUUUCUGUUGAAAUUACUAUGAAUUAUUAUUUUUAUUUUGCUCUCACUAAAACCUAUCCAUAUCCAUUGAGGCUAUAUUCAUUUCUCUCUGUGGCAAUGAAUAAGGAAAGGAAACAGGGGCAUAAAUUUGUUUAAAGAGUGAAAAUUAUGUUUGUCUUCUUGGUUUGAUAGCUGAUCCUUUAACAUUUUUUAAAAGUAUAUACAUAGAUACAUCUCUGUUGUAUUUAAAAUAUAUUGUUGUGUGUGUGAACCUGCAUUUGCCUCUGCAAAUCAGUCAUCUAUAGUGGGGCGUUACAUAAACACACACCAACUAUGUGAAAAAAUAUUAGAAUGGAAAGAAUCAAUCUGUUCAACAGGUUCAUCUGCAGUACAUAUUUCUACAAUGUUGGGUUAGCAUGUUGCAAUUACAUAAGGAGGACAUCACAAUUCAUGCUGUUUCAAAUACUGAUAAAAAUUAUCUCAAAGAACUGACAAAGCUGGUAUGCUUACACUGUUUAAUAAGAUAUUAAAAGUGUUUUAAAAUUA